rnacentral:rRNA from 1 species
UACGAAGGGGGCUAGCGUUGCUCGGAAUCACUGGGCGUAAAGCGCACGUAGGCGGAUUGCUAAGUCAGGGGUGAAAUCCUGGAGCUCAACUCCAGAACUGCCUUUGAUACUGGCGAUCUUGAGUCCGGGAGAGGUGAGUGGAACUGCGAGUGUAGAGGUGAAAUUCGUAGAUAUUCGCAAGAACACCAGUGGCGAAGGCGGACUCACUGGCCCGGUACUGACGCUG